ACCGUGCGAACGUUAUUCGGAAUCACUGGGCUUAAAGCGCGUGUAGGCGGGACGGCACGUCGGUCGCUGAAAGCCCCCGGCUCAACCGGGGAACGGGCGCCGAUACGACCGGCCUGGAGGGACGUAGGGGGACCUGGAACUUCCGGUGGAGCGGUGAAAUGCGUUGAGAUCGGAAGGAACGCCCGUGGCGAAAGCGAGGUCCUGGACGUCUGCUGACGCUGAGACGCGAAAGCCAGGGGAGCGAACGGG
rnacentral:rRNA from 1 species